rnacentral:rRNA from 1 species
CAGCCGCCGCGGUAAUACGAGGGGGGCAAGCGUUGUUCGGAAUUAUUGGGCGUAAAGGGUGCGUAGGCGUUUUGAUAAGUCUGAUGUGAAAUCUCUGGGCUCAACCCAGAGUCUGCAUCGGAAACUGUCGGGCUUGAGGAUGGGAGAGGUGAGUGGAAUUUCCGGUGUAGCGGUGAAAUGCGUAGAUAUCGGAAGGAACACCUGUGGCGAAAGCGGCUCACUGGACCAUUUCUGACGCUGAUGCACGAAAGCUAGGGGAGCAAACAGGAUUAGAUACCCGUGUAGUCCCUGUCUCUUAUAC